AGCGAACGCUGGCGGCAGGCCUAACACAUGCAAGUCGAACGGAUCCUUCGGGAUUAGUGGCGGACGGGUGAGUAACACGUGGGAACGUGCCCUUUGGUUCGGAACAACUCAGGGAAACUUGAGCUAAUACCGGAUGUGCCCUUCGGGGGAAAGAUUUAUCGCCAUUGGAGCGGCCCGCGUAGGAUUAGCUAGUUGGUGGGGUAAAGGCUCACCAAGGCUACGAUCCUUAGCUGGUCUGAGAGGAUGAUCAGCCACAUUGGGACUGAGACACGGCCCAAACUCCUACGGGAGGCAGCAGUGGGGAAUCUUGCGCAAUGGGCGAAAGCCUGACGCAGCCAUGCCGCGUGAAUGAUGAAGGUCUUAGGAUUGUAAAAUUCUUUCACCGGGGACGAUAAUGACGGUACCCGGAGAAGAAGCCCCGGCUAACUUUGUGCCAGCCGCCGCAGUAAAAC
rnacentral:rRNA from 1 species